rnacentral:lncRNA from 1 species
GUUUUAUAAGGGGUUUCUCCUUUCACUUGGCUCUCAUUCUCUCUUGCCUGUUGCCAUGUAAGAUGUGCCUUUUGCCUUCGAUCAUGAUUGUGAGGCUUCCCCAGCCACAUGGAACUACUCCAGGUUCUUCAACUUCGUGACUCGGACUGGCUUCUUUGCUCUGAAGAUUGCAGACAGCCUAUUGUGGGAGCUCACCUUGUGAUUGUGUUAUGUUUAAUUUCUUCACACCACUCAAAACUCAGCUUCUGAUUUCAAGAGUUCAACAACAGCCCUGAAGGAUUCUGUCUGCUUUACAGCUAUAGGCAGCUUCUGAAAAGCCACUCUGCCCUAAGAAGUCAGCCUACAUAAUUGAAGACAAGUGAUGUAAAUAAUUUGCCCUGUAUGCUGGUCCCAUGUUCCUGGACUUCUCAGUCUCCCCCAG